rnacentral:rRNA from 1 species
UACAGAGGUCUCAAGCGUUGUUCGGAUUCUUUGGGCGUAAAGGGCGCGUAGGCUGCGGGGCAAGUCGGGUGUGAAAUCUCAGAGCUCAACUCUGAAACUGCACUCGAUACUGCGGUGCUUGAGGACUGGAGAGGAGACUGGAAUUCAUGGUGUAGCAGUGAAAUGCGUAGAGAUCAUGAGGAAGACCAGUGGCGAAGGCGGGUCUCUGGACAGUUCCUGACACUGAGACACGAAGGCCAGGGGAGCAAACGGG